rnacentral:rRNA from 1 species
AUGCACGCUGGCGGCGUGCCUCAUCCCUGCCAGUCGCGCGAACAGACGAGGAGCUUGCUCCUCUGACGUUAGCGGCGGACGGGUGAGUAACACGUGGAUAACCUACCUAUAAGACUGGGAUAACUUCGGGAAACCGGAGCUAAUACCGGAUAAUAUAUUGAACCGCAUGGUUCAAUAGUGAAAGACGGUUUUGCUGUCACUUAUAGAUGGAUCCGCGCCGCAUUAGCUAGUUGGUAAGGUAACGGCUUACCAAGGCGACGAUGCGUAGCCGACCUGAGAGGGUGAUCGGCCACACUGGAACUGAGACACGGUCCAGACUCCUACGGGAGGCAGCAGUAGGGAAUCUUCCGCAAUGGGCGAAAGCCUGACGGAGCAACGCCGCGUGAGUGAUGAAGGUCUUCGGAUCGUAAAACUCUGUUAUUAGGGAAGAACAAAUGUGUAAGUAACUAUGCACGUCUUGACGGUACCUAAUCAGAAAGCCACGGCUAAUUACGUG